rnacentral:rRNA from 1 species
UACGUAGGGUGCGAGCGUUAAUCGGAAUUACUGGGUGUAAAGCGUGCGCAGGCGGUUCGUUGUGUCGGUGGUGAAAGCCCCGGGCUUAACCUGGGAAUGGCCAUGGAAACUGGCGAACUGGAGUGUGGCAGAGGGGGGUGGAAUUCCGCGUGUAGCAGUGAAAUGCGUAGAGAUGCGGAGGAACACCGAUGGCGAAGGCAGCCCCCUGGGCUAGCACUGACGCUCAGGCACGAAAGCGUGGGGAGCAAACAGG